AUUGAACGCUGGCGGCAGGCCUAAAACAUGCAAGUCGAACGGAGCGGCGGGCGGGUGAGUAAUGCCUAGGAAUCUGCCUGGUCGCGGGGGAUAACGUCAGGAAACGGGCGCUAAUACAGCAUACUAUCAGAUUCGGCUCGGUCGGAUUAGCUAGUUGGUGGGGGAAAGGCCUACCAAGGCGACGAUCCGUAACUGGUCUGAGAGGAUGAUCAGGCACACUGGAACGGAGACACGGUCCAGACUCCUACGGGAGGCAGCAGUGGGGAAUAUUGGACAAUGGGCGAAAGCCUGAUCCAGCCAUGCCGCGUGUGUGAAGAAGGUCUUCGGAUUGUAAAGCACGUUAAGUUGGGAGGCGUUACCAACAGAAUAAGCACCGGCUAACUUCGUGCCAGCAGCCGCGGUAAUUC
rnacentral:rRNA from 1 species